UCAUACAGGGGGAUAACAGUUAAAAAUGACUGCUAAUACCGCAUAAGCGCACAGGACCGCAUGGUCAAGUGUGAAAAACUGAGGUGGUAUGAGAUGGACCCGCGUCUGAUUAGCUAGUUGGUGAGGUAAGGGCUCACCAAGGCAACGAUCAGUAGCCGACCUGAGAGGGUGACCGGCCACAUUGGGACUGAGACACGGCCCAAACUCCUACGGGAGGCAGCAGUGGGGAAUAUUGCACAAUGGGGGAAACCCUGAUGCAGCGACGCCGCGUGAGCGAAGAAGUAUUUCGGUAUGUAAAGCUCUAUCAGCAGGGAAGAAAAUGACGGUACCUGACUAAGAAGCACCGGCUAAAUACGUGCCAGCAGCCGCGGUAAUACGUAUGGUGCAAGCGUUAUCCGGAUUUACUGGGUGUAAAGGGAGUGUAGACGGAUAAGCAAGUCUGGAGUGAAAGCCCGGGGCUCAACCCCGGGACUGCUUUGGAAACUGUUUAUCUAGAGUGCUGGAGAGGUAAGUGGAAUUCCUAGUGUAGCGGUGAA
rnacentral:rRNA from 1 species